AUGACUGUUUUGAUAAAACCCAAGAGGCAGGCUUGGGUGCUUCUGCUGUCAGACUGUCAUGGCUGUCCAGAGAAGGAGCAAACACGAUGGUGGGAGAUGAAUUUUUUUCAUCUGUCACCUUUCAAGUGCAAUGUGAUCAAAGCCAAUGUUGAAGCAAUGCAGCAUGUAAAGGAGUCUGUUUUCAUUUAGCUGGGCUGUCUUGAUUUUGCAUUCAUUACACAAGCUGUGAAGAGGAACUGAACAGAUGUGUCGACCUUUCUGGGUAAAUGGAGGAGAUGCAGUCACCAGAAUAUAUUUUUCAAACUGCUAAAAUAAACUUAAAAUAAACAUGUUACUGAUUAUCUAU
rnacentral:lncRNA from 1 species